CCUACGGGUGGCAGCAGUGGGGAAUAUUGGGCAAUGGGCGCAAGCCUGACCCAGCAACGCCGCGUGAAGGAAGAAGGCUUUCGGGUUGUAAACUUCUUUUAUCAGGGACGAAGCAAGUGACGGUACCUGAUGAAUAAGCCACGGCUAACUACGUGCCAGCAGCCGCGGUAAUACGUAGGUGGCAAGCGUUAUCCGGAUUUACUGGGUGUAAAGGGCGUGUAGGCGGGAGUGCAAGUCAGAUGUGAAAACUAUGGGCUCAACCCAUAGCCUGCAUUUGAAACUGUACUUCUUGAGUGCUGGAGAGGCAAUCGGAAUUCCGUGUGUAGCGGUGAAAUGCGUAGAUAUACGGAGGAACACCAGUGGCGAAGGCGGAUUGCUGGACAGUAACUGACGCUGAGGCGCGAAAGCGUGGGGAGCAAACAGGAUUAGAUACCCUUGUAGUC
rnacentral:rRNA from 1 species